UUGAACGCUGGCGGCAUGCUUUACACAUGCAAGUCGAACGGCAGCGCGGGGGCAACCCUGGCGGCGAGCGGCGGAACGGGUGAGUAAAUACAUCGGAACGUGUCCCUUUCGUGGGGGGAUAACCAGUCCGGAAACGGAUUGCUAAUACCGCAUUGAGAUCUCGACGGACGAGGAAAGCCGGGGACCCGCAAGGGCCUCGUCGCUAUUGGAGCGGCCGAUGUCGGAUUAGCUAGGUUGGCGGGGGUAAGAGCCCACCAAGGCGACGAUCGGUAGCUGGUUUGAGAGAGACGACCAGCCACACUGGGACUGAGAACACGGCCCAGACUCCUACGGGAGGCAGCAGUGGGGAAUUUUGGACAAUGGGCGCAAGCCUGAUCCAGCCAUGCCGCGUGCGGUGAAGAAGGCCUUCGGGUUGUAAAGCCACUUUUCGGCCGGAACGAAAGCGCGCAGGAUUAAUACCCGUCGUGGAUGACGGUACCGGAAGAAUAAGCACCGGCUACUACGUGCCAGCAGCCGCGGUAGUACGUAGGGUGCGAGCGUUAAUCGGAAUUACGUGGGCGUAAAGGGUGCGCAGGCGGUUCUGCAAGUCAGGCGUGAAAUCCCCGGGCUUAACCUGGGAAUGGCCGCUUGAAACUACGGGACUGGAGUAUGGCAGAGGGAGGUGGAAUUCCACGUGUAGCGGUGAAAUGCGUAGAGAUGUGGAGGAACACCGAUGGCGAAGGCAGCCUCCUGGGCAAUACUGACGCUCAUGCACGAAAGCGUGGGGAGCAAACAGGAUUAGAUACCCUGGUAGUCCACGCCCUAAACGAUGAUGACUAGUUGUUGGAGGAGUUAAAUCCUUUAGUAACGCAGCUAACGCGAGAAGUCAUUCCGCCUGGGGGAGUACGGGUCGCAAGAUUAAACUCAAAGGAAUUGCGGGGGCCCGCAACAAGCCGGUGGAUGACGUGGUUUAAUUCGACGCAACGCGAAAAACCUUACCUACCCUUGACAUGUACGGAAGCCCGCUGAGAGGCGGGUGUGCCCGAAAGGGAGCCGUAACACAGGUGCCUGCAUGGCUGUCGUCAGCUCGUGUCGUGAGAUGUUGGGUUAAGUCCCGCAACGAGCCGCAACCCUUGCCAUUAGUUGCUACAUUCAGUUGAGCACUCUAAUGGGACUGCCGGUGACAAACCGGAGGAAGGUGGGGAUGACGUCAAGUCCUCAUGGCCCUUAUGGGUAGGGCUACACACGUCAUACAAUGGUCGGUACAGAGGGUUGCCAACCCGCAAGGGGGAGCCAAUCCCAGAAAGCCGAUCGUAGUGCGGAUUGGAGUCUGCAACUCGACUCCCAUGAAGUCGGAAAUCGCUAGUAAUCGCAGAUCAGCAUGCUCGCGGUGAAUACGUUCCCGGGCCUUGUACACACCGCCCGUCACACCAUGGGAGUGGGGUUCACCAGAAGCAGGUUGCCUAAACCGCAAGGGGGCGCCUACCACGGUGAGCUUCAUGACUGGGGUG
rnacentral:rRNA from 1 species